UGAAAGGUUUCUUAAUCCUCAUAGUAUUUUCAUUAAUUUUACACUGAAAACCCUACUAGAGAGCUGAAGUAGUAUCCAAAGUCUUUAAGUGAACAUAAGAACAUGGUUCCUAGGGGCUAACUCUCCAUACCACUGAAAGAAGCGCCCCUCUAAAUUCUAUUUCUAAAAGCAACCCCUACUUACGUGGUUAACAGGAAGGAGCCUUCACUGCACCUGUCCAGAGCUUUCCGAGCAGCUGGCUUCCCUGAGAAUUCAACAAUGCCUUUUCCUGAGGGCCUUCCUCUAUCAUCCACGAUGACUACAGCCCUUUCCACUUGGCCAAACACAGAAAAAGCUUCCUCCAGCAGUUCGUUAGAAACAUACU